GACGUAGGGCGCGAGCGUUGUCCGGAUUUAUUGGGCGUAAAGAGCUCGUAGGCGGCUUGUCGCGUCGACUGUGAAAACCCGAGGCUCAACUUCGGGCUUGCAGUCGAUACGGGCAGGCUUGAGUUCGGUAGGGGAGACUGGAAUUCCUGGUGUAGCGGUGAAAUGCGCAGAUAUCAGGAGGAACACCGGUGGCGAAGGCGGCGACCUGGGUAGAUACUGACGCUGAGGCGCGAAAGCGUGGGGAGCAAACAGG
rnacentral:rRNA from 1 species